CGCGGGGUGGAGCAGUGGUAGCUCGUUGGGCUCAUAACCCAAAGGUCGUAGGUUCAAGUCCUGCCCCCGCAA
rnacentral:tRNA from 1 species